GGCGGACGGGUGAGUAACGCGUGGGAACGUGCCUUCUGGUCUGGAAUACCCUGGGAAACUAGGGCUAAUACCGGAUACGCGCGAGAGCGGAAAGGUUUACCGCCGAAGGAUCGGCCCGCGUCUGAUUAGCUAGUUGGUGAGGUAACGGCUCACCAAGGCGACGAUCAGUAGCUGGUCUGAGAGGAUGAUCAGCCACACUGGGACUGAGACACGGCCCAGACUCCUACGGGAGGCAGCAGUGGGGAAUAUUGGACAAUGGGCGCAAGCCUGAUCCAGCAAUGCCGCGUGAGUGAUGAAGGCCUUAGGGUUGUAAAGCUCUUUUACCCGGGAUGAUAAUGACAGUACCGGGAGAAUAAGCCCCGGCUAACUCCGUGCCAGCAGCCGCGGUAAU
rnacentral:rRNA from 1 species